UACGUAGGGGGCUAGCGUUGUCCGGAAUCAUUGGGCGUAAAGCGCGUGUAGGCGGUCCGGUAAGUCCGCUGUGAAAGUCGAGGGCUCAACCCUCGAACGCCGGUGGAUACUGUCGGGCUAGAGUACGGAAGAGGCGAGUGGAAUUCCUGGUGUAGCGGUGAAAUGCGCAGAUAUCAGGAGGAACACCAAUUGCGAAGGCAGCUCGCUGGGACGUUACUGACGCUGAGACGCGAAAGCGUGGGGAGCAAACAGG
rnacentral:rRNA from 1 species